UUCCAUCUUCAUCGGUUUGUCAUUUAUCAAAACCUACAAAUAUGAACACAUUAGUUUUAACAACAUAAUAAAUGUGUACUAACAAGGAGGGCACUCCAAAUAAACUCCACAAGUCUAACCUAGUAUUGGAGGAAUAAGUUCAUCGAAUACCUAAAAAAUGGGAAGCUUCCAUUAGAUCCUAAAGAAUCAAGGACUCUACGCACGAAGGCCACACGGUUCACAUUGGCCGAGGAUGGAACGCUGUAAAGGAGAACGUUCGAUAGAUCGUUAGCAAAAUGUUUGGGACCAGGAGACACCGACUAUGUUCUACGGGAAUUUCACGAGGGAACUUGCGAAAAUCAUUCUGGUGCCAAGUCAUUGGUUCAUAAAGUCAUCAGAGCAGGAUACUAUUGGGAUAUGGAAAAGGGCACAAAAUAAUUUGUUCGAAAGUACGACAAAUGUCAAAGUUAUGUGCCGAUGAUCCACCAGCCCGGAGAGAAACUCCACUCACUCAUUUCCCAUGGACGUUCAUAAAAUGGGGGAUGGAUAUCGCCAGCCCUCUACCAUUAGAUCUAGGUAAAGCUAAAGAUCUGCGGAUGUAGAGAUUUCUAUGACUAUUUUAUUGUUCUAUAUCAUGAUUACUCUUAACUUUAAAAUUGCUUCAUAAGUUCGACUUGUCUGUUAGUAGUAAUUUCUUGGUUGUCUGUAUUUAGGAGUUUAUAUCUGGUUGUUAAUCUAGUUAUCAGAUAGAUACAUGGUAGAUGGUCCUAGCUCUAUGGCAAAAGUAUCAAAAGAGAUGUAUGUCUACAUGCAUUUGUAUGUAUGCAAACACAUGAUAUAUGAGUUGGUUGGAAGCAUAAUAUACUACAACAAUCCAGUAUAAUUCCACAUAGUGAGGUCUCGAUUUCAAGCCUGAUAUUGGAAUACCAGUGCUUUAUCAAAGAUCUUUGUUAUCUAUUACUGAUGAUGAUAGAUUUCAGAUGCAUGAUUUUGGAACAUCUGAAAGGCUUAAAUACUUGAAUAUGUCUCACUGCUCAAAGCUGAGUCGUCUUGCGAAUACCAUUCAUCUUGAAUCAUUGGAAACUUUUCUUCUUUGGGACUGCACCAACAUUGAAAAUUUUCCUGAAGUUAUUGGAUUAAUUCCAAAGCUUUGGAUACUUUCUUGAUCAGUAGAAUCAUUAGAGGUAAUAAAUAUGGAGUCUUACAGGACCUGUGCUGAUGUCUAACAAAGUUUUAACGAAAGAUCACUCUCAAACAUCCUCAAUAUAUUGCUUUUAACAAUGCAAAUGGUCUGAAAAUACGUGUUUCAGCGAGUUUAGAGCCUUUAUAUGAAUUGUUAGACCACAUGAAUCGAACACAGACUGACCUCUCCUAUCGAUUUGGUCCUGAUGAUCUGCAGAAUUAGCAUUCAUGCAAAGCUGAUUGCCUUCUCCCUGUAUGUGAUGUCCAAAUAACUGGAUGUGUUUGAUGCCUCCACCCAUCCUUUGGCUUUGAAAUCCCCAGACUGUCUCUCCUUCUCAAUGGCUCAACUGAUGUAUUAUAGACAGUUCUGGGAUGCCUCUUCUGGUGAUAAUUUUAGCAGUACUUACAUAAUCCUUGAUUAUGGAAACUCCUCCUCGCUUCCUUGCUUAUGCUCAUCACUGAUACACCUUCCUGGGAAUGAGCACAUAGUGCUAAUCCUUGAUGAACAAACAGCAAGGACUGAUAAUCUUCAUUGCUUAUGUUUAUAUUUGUUUCCUGGAAGAAUGUCAGGAAUAUUGCAGCAGCUAAAGCUGCUAGUUUGAUAUAAAAUUCUAUUGAUAAACUUAUAAACAUUAUCCAUCAACACGUGUUAGCCAUCAAGAACUUGAAUGAAUAAAUCCCUUUUCAAUACUCAAUUUAUCUAGGAGCUAAGCUAGCUUUGUAUAUCUUAUAUUUGUUAGAUUAGUUGCCAAGUCUUGCAUAAAUUUCAAAUGUUUUUGCUUUCUAUUGGUGUGAUAAUCAUUUGCUUGCAUUUCUAUUAUAUUUAGCGAUUUCUAGUAGAAGAAGAUUUGCUUGCUUAUGCGCAUAUCUACAGUGCUCAUAUAUUUCAGGUCAUACAUGAUGAAUAAUUUAGCGGGUCAAAGAUUUCAAUAUGAUGAAGAGUUGCAAAUAUUACUUGAAGAUUAUUAUUCGUUGGAAUUAGUCAUUUAAUGAUAUUAGCUAUUUACCUCAGAAAGUAUAUGUUUUUUUUUAAGUUACUGUCAUAUUAAAAUAUUUCAGAUUAGUACUUUCUUUUGUUUGUUAAAUUUAAUGAGAUACAUUAUGUUUUUAUGAAUUAAUAUUAGUAUGUUUAGUUAUUUGGAACCUUGAUUGAAUGAAUGUAUUAGCUAUUAUUAAUGGUGGCUAAAUUAUUGUCGUUAUAGCUUGUGACUUUUAGCACUAAUUUAACAGGACAUAUCGAUUAUAAAAAUGAAUAAUAAAAUGGCAAAUUGUGAUGUCUCCACAUGAAAUAUUGUUGCCAUUAUAAUUGCUGCUAAAUAUGACUUCUAGCGGCAAUUUAAUUAAAUUUAUUAGCCAUUAAAAUGGAUGAUAUAAGGGCAUAUUAAUACAUUUUAGGAAGGGAUAUUAUAGCCAUUCUAAUUGCCACAAAAUAUUUACCACUAAAGAUAUGGACUUUUCGUGAAAUUGUUUUUUUGAAUUUAGUGGCUAUAAAAAUGGACAUUAAAAAAGAGUUAGUAGCAGUUUUAGCUUGGAUUUAGCGGCCAUCAUAAUUAUCGCAAACAAUUGCCGUUAAAGCAAAUUAUAUUUAGCGGUAAUAAGUGAUACCUUUUACCAGCUGUUGUUAUAAAUGCCGCUAAAGGCUUU
rnacentral:lncRNA from 1 species